CAGAGGUUCUACCACAAAAGCUGUUGUCUAUUGAUUCAGAUGUUAUGGAGAGCCUCUGUU
ensembl:miRNA gmo-mir-11234 gmo-mir-11234